rnacentral:lncRNA from 1 species
CACUCGUCAAAUCUGCGCUGUCCUCGGUGCUGAAACCGGGAAGUCUGCGUAAAAGCGGCGGUGCUCCGCGUCCCCUUUGUUGGUGAAUGGACCCGGUUAUUUUCACCAUUAAGCGGAGUGAAAUAAGUCAGACUGAAGUUCCGUUCAGCACAUGAAAUAAACAUGAAGGAGCGUGAGUGCCUCGACCACCAACUAACAGGCUAAAUGGGCUGCUUGUCUGAUCCUACUGCUGGGAGCUUUAAUUGGUCUACAGGCGAAUAACGCGGCAGUUUGGCGCGUUGGUGAUUUUCUAUUUUAAAUCACGUGUUGCUCCAGUCGUGCCCACCGUUCAGACCGGUUAUAAAGAGCAAAUAACGGCUGUCAUUAUCGUCAAAGAAACGCCAGCCUGUUUUGGUUUUUUAUCACAGCAGCCUCUCGCUCCGUUUCUCUCUCUCUCUCUCUCUCUCUCUCACACACACACACACGCGCGCGCACGCAUACACACCCACCUCCCCACUUUCUCCUCGCGCAGCCGAGGCGCUUGUCGUCUCCAAAGCCCGUCUCCAGAAGCAUGUCCUCAGACAUGCAGCCACGGUGCCAUGAAGCGACCCAGGAGACGCCACCAGCAUGACAGCAGGAACAGGGCUGUCGACAGAGUCCAGAGACGGCGGCGUGUCAGCUCAACACAAACAGCGGCGGCGCAAACACGCAACGCUGUCAUUUGGACCGGGACUUACACGCUGUCCCACAGAGGAGGCCUGGCGUGGCUUCAGGCCCGGAUGGGUCGCGUGACGAGGCUGGAGUCAGUUCAAACAGGCGUCGCUGUGCAGGGACCACAGCGCUGGCUCAAGGUCAGCACACUUUAAAUAGUCAAGUAGUUUUCACCGUGCGAUCGAUUCGCUGCAACGUGGCUGAAUCGUAUGAGAAGCUGCUUAUAGAAAUAUAUAAUGAUUCUGCCUUUUCUAAAUGGAAACUGAGCCCUGCCUGAAGAGAAGUCACGUUUCUCCACCGACGGUCUGAUUGUAAUCGCCUGCUUCAUGGCUGUGCCGAUGAGACUUGUGCAGCCGUUAUUAGAGGCAGGAGCAGUGGGAGGUUUGUUAAAGGCAAAGACGCGGCUACAGGUAACAGGUCAGGUGUUUACAACAUCCAGGUACGACGUGUGAGACGCAACAAAGCCAGCUUACGUUUCCUGUCGCUGCUUCACAAUAAGAGCUGUCCAGUAGCAGCAGGAGGUUUUUACUGCAGCCUGGAAGCAGAAGACGGGUCUGUCACGAGGAAACGGCCCAGACUGGGAGCUUUCAGUGCUAGAAUUGAAGCCAUAAGUGUCGCUUUGCUUUCCCUCGUCCAUUGAUGGAAACAGGAAAGUUUAGUGCCUUCAGAUAAAACGUCUUAGUGGGAAAUCUUUGCAGAUAAAUGAACACGAGCCUUGCAACGGCGUGAUCAUAUCUUUAAAUUGCUCUUCUGUGAGGGCCCGCGUGUGUGUUCCGUGUAAUUACUGAAGGACCUUUACUCAGACGUGGCUGGAUGUGGGGCCGAGCGAAUCAUCCGGCCCUCAGGGUCACUUCACUUUGCGUGUAAUGCUGCAGGACACGCCGAGCGAUAAGGACGCGGCCUCCCUCCGUGUGCCGUAAACGCCCAGCACGGCUCACCAGGCGAACGUAAAGACUUAUUCAGUCCCGUCAGUGCCUCACAUGCUAAUUUCUCUGGGUCGUUAGCUAUCCGGUUAGGAGCUAGCUUUAUGGGGGCGCUGCCUUUCAAAAGCUUCAAAGUGCUUUUGCCUGGUGCUGUAAAGGGCUUCACAAUAAAAGCCCGUAUGCAGGUCUAGUGCUGCUUCCC